rnacentral:rRNA from 1 species
GCCUGUUUAUUAAAAACAUGGUUUUUUGAAUAUAAUUUAAGAUUUGACCUGCUCAAUGAUAUUUAAAUAGCUGCAGUAUUUUAACUGUACGAAGGUAGCAUAAUCAUUUGUUAUUUAAUUGAUAACUAGUAUGAAAGGUUGGACAAGGAAUUAACUGUUUCUAUAUUAAUUUUAAAUAAUUUUAUUUUUAAGUUAAAAAGCUUAAAUUUUUUUAAAAGACGAGAAGACCCUAUAGAAUUUUAUAUAAUAAUUAUAGUUUUAAAUUAGUAAUUUUAUAAAAUUAUAUAUUUUAUAUUUGAUUGGGGCGAUUGAAAAAUUUGAUAAACUUUUUUAAUAUAAAAGCAUUAAUGAAUGUUUUUUUGAUUCAAAAAAAUGAUUAAUAGAAUAAAUUACCUUAGGGAUAACAGCGUAAUUUCUAAUAAAGAUCUUAUUGAAAUAGAAGAUUGCGACCUCGAUGUUGGAUUAAAAUUAAUUUAAGGUGAAGGAGCUUUAAGAUUAGGUCUGUUCGACCUUUAAAAUUUUACAUGAUCUGAGUUCAGACCGG